UCAUAAUUGCCCACGCAUGACAAACACAUGACAACCCAUGAUCACCUCAACACUAAUUCAAUAAAACGACGGUCACAAGACAAACACCGUCUAUCCCCAUCACAUGACAAACACACAUGUGACAAGGAAUAGGAAACAAAAGCCUGUCAAAACACAAUUGAUGACUAGUUACAUAUCCGGAUGUCCCACCUACCACACAGGAGGUCCCGCCCUCAUCGGAAGUCCCGCCUUAAUCAACCGGAAGUCCUGCCCGCCUGUCACUUUUUAAUUUAAUUGACAGAUGAAGAAGGAUAUUACUAAAUUCUCUGUCCACAUUUCUGCAUCAAUUUGUCCAGGAUAUAAAAGAUACAAACACACAUGGUGCUAUCAAGUAUUCACAAACUGGUCUUACUCAGGUUUCCAGGGUUUUUCCAAUAGCUUGUAUGUGUGAUGCAGUGGCAAAGUGUUGACUUCAAGUGAUUCACCAAUUUAAUGGUGUGUAUAGAUGUGGAUACUGUCUGAAUGAGGGAAUGGUUGUGGCCAAAGGACACGGCUACACAAGGGAGCUGACAUUAGGAGUCACAUGCAUAUUGUUGAAUCUGGGGCAAAAGCCAUUGAGAAGGGUGUCGACCAUGUCCUUGGGGUCAAGUCUCUGUCACCCCUAAUCUUGCUCUAUAGUUCUGUUUUUGGUUUUGAUAUGAUAAAAAGUUUGGAUUACAUGCAUUGUGUGCUCCUUGGUGUCACAGAGCAUUUUUUUGGAUCUUUGGCUAGUAAAUAACAUGGCAACCCCUGUGUAGCGGGUUGAAAUAGUGCACCUGUGCCUUUAAGGCCGUUCAUUAGUAAAUCGGUGGAUACAGCUGGCUGGUUUCUUUAUAAGUUGACUUGCACCAUGGGUCAGGUAUGCAGCAGAAGUGAGGCUGGUUUGUUUGGCUCUCAGCGCGUUGUUGGGAAGGCUGUUCCGGUCUGUGUGGUAAUCUUCCGGUUGGCAGCCGGUUUUGGGAUUCUCUCGCAUAUUGGAAGACCCUCCAGUGGGCUGACGAGUGUCUACCUCGCAUUGUUUGUGGCUGUCUCCUCCAAACACUUUGAAGCUACAGCGUGCCGUCUAACCCUCCACUGUGGUUGCAUGGUGUUAUCGCCAGGGUCGCCAUCCUUUGCUUGCUGCUGUUUUGCCUCUGUUUGUCUUUGCUCAUUUGAUUUACAUGUCUUGUCCUUAUCAUUGUAUUUUGUGAUUUAUUUGGUUAAGUGUAGAAGUCCUUUAUUUUCAUGUUCUUUUGGCUUUAUGUUAUUUCGUUUGCAUGAUUUUGGGAAGCUUUAAGUAGGCACAUAUGCAGGCAUAGUUAGGCCUGCCCGCUGUGUAAUUCUACAGCUUAGUCUAGGCCCCCUAUUGCUGCUGGGCUUCUCAAAGCAGUUGUGUCUGUCUAUCUAUUUGAAUUUGUCAUUUGGAUGGCCAUCCACUCCCUUAUUGUGUGUUUGUCUUGUAUGUCUUUGAUUUAGUUCCUGUUUGUAUUCAUUGGGGUAACGGGACAAUUCAGUCAGCUCUAAGGGUCAGCCUGUGUCAUCCGGGCCUAGUGUGAUUACUGUUGUUGUCUGUAUUUUUCGUUGUCUGUUGUGGUUUGUUUUGCAGGAGUAGGGGGUGCUACAGGGGAGGCUGGUCACCUGGUGUUGGUGGGAGUCUAGCUUGUAGUGCAUGUGUGGCUUCACUGUGUGUGUUUCCAGUACUGUUCACCUGUGUGGGUUGCGGUGGUUGCUGUCUCCUAUAUCCACGUGUGAUCCUGACAGCCUGCCUCCCUCUGGUAAGCCCCUUCCUCCUUUUCAACUAAUUGUCUUGUCUUAUGUUUUGUUUCCUUCCCACUCUGUGGCACAAAGUUGUACAUUUUUAAUAAUAAAUUAAUAUUUUCUUAGUCUGUGUUACAGCUUUCCUUCCGGUCUAGGUUUCUCUUAAUUUGUUCCCCAUCCUCUGUGCUUAAAUAAAAAUCUUUCAUUUUGUGGAACUCUGUCUCCGUCUCAUGCCUGAACCUGUGAGCCUGUUGAGUCUUUUGAUUAACAGAAACCUGUUCCCUGGUUUGAUACUAGGGUGGCGUAGUCAGCGACUAAAUUAAACUUCUUGCCAGUUCUUGGUAACGCCACACCUGGUAUAUUGGGACAGGUAAAAGCAAAAUUAAUUAACAAUUACUAUCCCCCACACCACCUUCUGAUAACCCCAGAGUGCCAUGCUCUGUGCAUGUUGCACACAAGUGGAAAGCUGCUGAAUGCCGUAGCUGGCUGCUUAUUUUACGAUUUAACCGUAUUACACAUGAUCUUGCCCACAAAAUAUUUCAAACAUUGGUCGUUAAUAGUAAAUUCAAUGUCCCUCUUUCUAAAAGUAUUUAAAAUAGAUAUACCCAGUGUUUCCAAUUACAUUA